rnacentral:lncRNA from 1 species
GCGGGCAUAGCUGGCUCUGCUUAUGGCGUCCCAGAUCUUCACCGUAGCAACCCCAAAACCUCCGGCGUAAAGGUCUCCACCGCAGCUCUCUCUCUACCACAGCUCUCUCUCAACCGCAGCUCUCACUAGCUUCGGGCACUAAUUUCAACAUAAGACCAGAUCCAAAAAACCCCAAAGAUUUCCCAAUAUUCACUAUCAAAAUCCCC